UGGUGGCGAUGCGCUUAGGGGACACACCCGUUCCCAUCCCGAACACGAUGGUUAAGACCUAAGCGGCCGAUGGUACUGCACUGGAGACGGUGUGGGAGAGCAGGUGGCUGCCA
rnacentral:rRNA from 1 species